rnacentral:rRNA from 1 species
AACGGCCGCAGUAUUUUGACUGUGCUAAGGUAGCAUAAUCAUUAGGUUUUUAAUUGAAAUCUUGUUUGAAUGGCUAAAUGAAAUAAAUUCUUUUUUAUAUUAAAUAUUGAAUUUUAUUUUUUAGUUAAAAAGCUAAAAUUUAAAAAUGGGACGAGAAGACCCUAUAGAAUUUUAUAAUAUUUUUUUUUAUUAUUUUUUUAUUAAUUUAAUAACAAAUAAUUAUAUUAUUAUAUUGGGGCGAUAAUUAAAUUUAUUUAACUUUUUACUCAUUUAAUCAUUUAUAAAUGUUUAAUUGAUCUUUUUUUAUUGAUUAAAAAAUUAAAUUACCUUAGGGAUAACAGCAUAAUAUUAUUAAGGAGUUCUUAUUUUUAAUAUUGUUUAUGACCUCGAUGUUGAAUUAAAUAAAAUUAAUAUAUGUAGAAAUAUAUUAAAUAAGUCUGUUCGACUUUUGAUUAUUUACAUGAUUUGAGUUCAAACCGGUGUGAGCCAGGUCGGUUUCUAUCU